UGGGGAAUAUUGCACAAUGGGCGCAAGCCUGAUGCAGCCAUGCCGCGUGUAUGAAGAAGGCCUUCGGGUUGUAAAGUACUUUCAGUCGGGAGGAAGGUGUCAAGGUUAAUAACCUUGGCAAUUGACGUUACCGACAGAAGAAGCACCGGCUAACUCCGUGCCAGCAGCCGCGGUAAUACGGAGGGUGCAAGCGUUAAUCGGAAUUACUGGGCGUAAAGCGCACGCAGGCGGUUGAUUGAGUCAGAUGUGAAAUCCCCGGGCUUAACCCGGGAAUUGCAUCUGAUACUGGUCAGCUAGAGUCUUGUAGAGGGGGGUAGAAUUCCAUGUGUAGCGGUGAAAUGCGUAGAGAUGUGGAGGAAUACCUGUGGCGAAGGCGGCCCCCUGGACAAAGACUGACGCUCAGGUGCGAAAGCGUGGGGAGCAAACAGG
rnacentral:rRNA from 1 species